GAUAAAUCUUUCUGCAUAAAUACAAUUCCUAUUAUAGGCCCUUUGUCUUAGGACUAAAAAUUUUGAAAGAAAAUCCCUUAGCCUGUGAAAUUUUAUUUUCAAACUGUCCCAAUUUCUUAAUUUACUGUCAUGAUCAACAGAAAUCAGAAUGUGGACACAAGUCAUGUUUGACAAAAAAUUAAAGAACUUGAAUGGCAAUAAUUUAAAUCAAAGUUCUUUGAUGCCAAUGUCAACCAAGCAAUUCCAGUUAAGGACGGUCCUGAGAUUAUCGCUCAUAUUCAUAGAGACUUAAUUAAAAGGUGUUAGAAUAAGAAUGUACAAGUUGGGAUAUUUGCCAUGAUCCUAGCCUUAGUAUUUGUUAUGAUUGUAUUGUAAUUAGGAUGCAAUUAGCCUAGAAUCUGUAUUCUUCCUUUUAGUAUAUCUUCCUAUAUUGGAAGACUUGUAACUGUAUAUAAAUACCCAUUGAGCGUGAGGGAAUAAUCAAGCCAUUAUUCCACAAAAUUCUCCUCCUUUUUCCUAUUUUCAUAUGGCAUCAGAGCCUAGGGUUUGAAGUCCCAGCUCAGUGUUUUUUUCUUUCUCCAAUUAUUUCUGUUUCACAGUACAUCUCAGACCAGAGAAAUUUCUUCUCCUUAUCACCCUUGGCAUCGAGCUCCACAUCUCACCGCCCUCUCCAAAAGGUGUGCCAAAUGCUGGUGAGCCUCGCCCUAGAAGACCCAAUGCCGGAGUAGUAGGCGUGUCUCCCCAUGUACAGUUUUUAUUCCUCUGCCCUAAGCUCACAAGCCAACACGUGACACCAUCCCAGGCCACCCUUCUCGCUGGCAUCUCUUCUACCAGGGAUAAUUGCAAUCUCAAGUUUCUCCUAUUCUACAUGUAAAAGGAAAACUCUAGCAUAUAUCAGAACUUGUAUCCUAUUCCUUCCUAGGGACAAACUGCAAGAAGCUUCAUGGGCAUAGGCACAAUGCCAAACUACAUAAAAUUUCUUGUGUCUAUUUUAUUUUCUCCUCUCUUUCUGCAUUUUAAUUCAAUCCAACUGUGCAUUAUGUGGUUUAUUUUCAAUGGAGGGUGUUUCUACCAAGUUCACAUAAAAAUACUACAAACCCACUACAAAAUAAAGAAUCAAUGUAAAGAGUAUAAAUUCAAA
rnacentral:misc_RNA from 1 species